rnacentral:rRNA from 1 species
AGCUCCAAUAGCGUAUAUUAAAGUUGCUGCAGUUAAAAAGCUCGUAGUUGCAUUUCCGAGGCAAGGGAUUAGUCCGACCUUUGGUGGGUAUUUAAUCCUCUUGCCUCGUCCUUGAGUGGUGCUUCUUGGUAUUAAGUUAUCGAGGAGAUAGCCGCUCAUCGUUUACUGUGAGAAAAUUAGAGUGUUCAAAGCAGGCUUAUGCCGUUGAAUAUAUUAGCAUGGAAUAAUAAGAGAGGACCGCGGUACUAUUUUGUUGGUUUGAGAACCAAGGUAAUGAUGAAUAGGGACAGUUGGGGGUAUUCGUAUUCAGUUGUCAGAGGUGAAAUUCUUAGAUUUACGGAAGACGAACUACUGCGAAAGCAUUUACCAAGGAUGUUUUCA